rnacentral:rRNA from 1 species
UCAGACGAUGCGUCAUGCAUAUCAAUAAGCGGAGGAAAAGAAACUAACAGGGAUUCCCUUAGUAACGGCGAGUGAAGCGGGAAGAGCUCAAAUUUGAAAUCUUUAAGGUUUUACCUUGACGAAUUGUAGUUUAAAGAAGUGUUUUCUGUUGAAGUUUUGGUAAAAGUUCUUUGGAAUAGGACAUCAUAGAGGGUGAGAAUCCCGUAUUUGACCAUUAUUUUCAGCUGUGUGAUACACUUUCAAAGAGUCGGAUUGUUUGGGAAUGCAGUCCAAAAUGGGUGGUAAAUUUCAUCUAAAGCUAAAUAUUGGCGAGAGACCGAUAGCGAACAAGUACCGUGAGGGAAAGAUGAAAAGAACUUUGAAAAGAGAGUUAAACAGUACGUGAAAUUGUCAAAAGGGAAGCGUUUGACACCAGUGUUGUUUUUCUGAAAAUCAAUUAAAGAACUGUUUAUGCUAAGCUGUUUAGACUUUAUCAGCUAACUGUUUAGUUUUGAGCUUUUCUUUAAUGCACUUUUCAGUUAACAAGUCAACAUCGAUUUCUUUUGCUGUAAAAAAGCUUGAGGAAGGUGGCUUGAGAUUCGUCUUAAGUGUUUGUAGCCUCUUGCCUAUGCAGUCGGAGAGAUUGAGGUCUGCAGCGUAGAUCCUUCGGGGCUAAAUGCAUUUGUGCUAAGUUAUAGCAUUUUAUAGACAACUCGUUGACUAUGAUUUGUCUUGUAGCUUACUCGCUUAUGUUAUUUUACCUACGCUUAGGAUGUUGAGCGCAUGUCUCUCUCU